UUUAGGAUAGAGACAGAGAAAUUGAGAAACAGAAGGAUAAAGAGAAUGAGAUGGACAUUUGCAGCACUGCUUCCCUGCUUGUGAAUCUUGUCCCCUGCAGAAAUGACCCGUCUUGUGAUAACUACAGCACUGACAUCUUACACUGUAACUGGGUGAUCAAAAGACUUGUAAGCAAGGCAAUGAGAAAGCCUGGAUUUCCUGGCCUGGUGAAGAAAUGGAAGCUCUAGAGAGGGGAAUUUAGAGACCUUAUUCAUUUCCUCAGAUCCUAUGGGUCAUGUCCAAAACUCCCCACUCAUAUCCUUGACGCCCUCUUUCUUUAUGAUACCAUGACAUUUCUCAUUUUCUUCACUGUCUUCUGAUUUGAAUUACAUACAAUUUAUCUGCUCAGGGUUAGUUCCUGGAAUGCAGGGACUGCGUCUUGUCAAGAGCAAGGUAGGAAGCCUUGCAUCUGUAGGAACACUUGCUUUGUGGGGCUGUGAAUGAGGUGAGCCCAAUAACCUGCGUCAAGUCAA